rnacentral:rRNA from 1 species
CAUGCAGUCGAGCGGAACGAUGGAAGCUUGCUUCCAGGCGUCGAGCGGCGGACGGGUGAGUAAUGCAUAGGAAUCUGCCCGAUAGUGGGGGAUAACGUGGGGAAACUCACGCUAAUACCGCAUACGUCCUACGGGAGAAAGCAGGGGAUCUUCGGACCUUGCGCUAUCGGAUGAGCCUAUGUCGGAUUAGCUAGUUGGUGAGGUAACGGCUCACCAAGGCGACGAUCCGUAGCUGGUCUGAGAGGAUGAUCAGCCACACUGGGACUGAGACACGGCCCAGACUCCUACGGGAGGCAGCAGUGGGGAAUAUUGGACAAUGGGGGAAACCCUGAUCCAGCCAUGCCGCGUGUGUGAAGAAGGCCUUCGGGUUGUAAAGCACUUUCAGCGAGGAAGAAGGCCUGAGGGCUAAUACCCUUCAGGAAGGACAUCACUCGCAGAAGAAGCACCGGCUAACUCCGUGCCAGCAGCCGCGGUAAUACGGAGGGUGCGAGCGUUAAUCGGAAUUACUGGGCGUAAAGCGCGCGUAGGUGGCUUGAUAAGCCGGUUGUGAAAGCCCCGGGCUCAACCUGGGAACGGCAUCCGGAACUGUCAGGCUAGAGUGCAGGAGAGGAAGGUAGAAUUCCCGGUGUAGCGGUGAAAUGCGUAGAGAUCGGGAGGAAUACCAGUGGCGAAGGCGGCCUUCUGGACUGACACUGACACUGAGGUGCGAAAGCGUGGGUAGCAAACAGGAUUAGAUACCCUGGUAGUCCACGCCGUAAACGAUGUCGACUAGCCGUUGGGUUCCUUGAGAACUUUGUGGCGCAGUUAACGCGAUAAGUCGACCGCCUGGGGAGUACGGCCGCAA